GCUGACUCCUAGUCCAGAGCC
rnacentral:miRNA from 1 species